UACGGAAGGCAGCAGUGGGGAAUAUUGCACAAUGGGCGCAAGCCUGAUGCAGCCAUGCCGCGUGUAUGAAAAAGGCCUUCGGGUUGUAAAGUACUUUCAGUCGUGAGGAAGGUGUUAAGGUUAAUAACCUUAGCAAUUGACGUUAGCGACAGAAGAAGCACCGGCUAACUCCGUGCCAGCAGCCGCGGUAAUACGGAGGGUGCGAGCGUUAAUCGGAAUUACUGGGCGUAAAGGGCACGCAGGCGGUUAAUUAAGUUGGAUGUGAAAUCCCCGGGCUUAACCUGGGAAUGGCAUUCAAGACUGGUUAGCUAGAGUCUUGUAGAGGGGGUAGAAUUCCAUGUGUAGCGGUGAAAUGCGUAGAGAUGUGGAGGAAUACCGGUGGCGAAGGCGGCCCCUGGACAAAGACUGACGCUCAUGUGCGAAAGCGUGGGGAGCGAAACAGGGAUUAGAUACCCGU
rnacentral:rRNA from 1 species